CAAUCAAGGCCGGGAGAGACGUCUUUCAGUGCACGUUUCCCGCGUUUUGGGGGGCAGUCGUUUUGGUUGCUCGUCGCUCUGUCCCGCGAUCUGAUUUUCGGGUAUACAAUUGGUGGUGAGCUGGAGGCGUGAAAACUGGAUGUUGCUCCCACUGACAGGCGUUUCUGAGGCUUGGGACCUGUGGCUUCAGAAGUACUGAUGGACCAAACACUCGGAGAGCUCAGUGCCCUUGUGCUUUUCGGCAAAUUCAUGGAAAAAGUGGCCCACACCCUCCAGAGCCACAUCAUCCUGGUGAAAAAGAAGCUCAGAGAGAGUGCCGCAGACAGAAACCGCAUCUCUAGAGGUCUGCCAGAUCCCAUCUUUCUCCACAGGGCACCCCAGAAUGCACUGGGGUCAGGCCUCAGGGGAGAUUGGGCUGCAGAGUCUUGAGCAGGGGCAGGGGGCAUUCGGCCUCACUCCCUGCUCAGGGAGACCACUGAGAGUGGAAGGUCAGGGAAAACGAGUACCUUUAU